rnacentral:rRNA from 1 species
UACGAAGGGUGCAAGCGUUAAUCGGAAUUACUGGGCGUAAAGCGCACGUAGGCGGUUAGUUAAGCUGGAUGUGAAAGCCCCGGGCUCAACCUGGGAAUUGCAUUCAAAACUGGCUAACUAGAGUAUGUGAGAGGGGGGUAGAAUUCCAAGUGUAGCGGUGAAAUGCGUAGAGAUUUGGAGGAAUACCAGUGGCGAAGGCGGCCCCCUGGCACAAUACUGACGCUGAGGUGCGAAAGCGUGGGGAGCAAACAGG